rnacentral:rRNA from 1 species
AAAUUGAAGAGUUUGAUCAUGGCUCAGAUUGAACGCUGGCGGCAGGCCUAACACAUGCAAGUCGAACGGUAACAGGAAGCAGCUUGCUGCUUCGCUGACGAGUGGCGGACGGGUGAGUAAUGUCUGGGAAACUGCCUGAUGGAGGGGGAUAACUACUGGAAACGGUGGCUAAUACCGCAUAACGUCGCAAGACCAAAGAGGGGGACCUUCGGGCCUCUUGCCAUCAGAUGUGCCCAGAUGGGAUUAGCUGGUUGGUGAGGUAACGGCUCACCAAGGCGACGAUCCCUAGCUGGUCUGAGAGGAUGACCAGCCACACUGGAACUGAGACACGGUCCAGACUCCUACGGGAGGCAGCAGUGGGGAAUAUUG